GGGGACGUUUUGGAUUAGACAGGAUGUUUGGUUGAAACAGGCGGCGAGUCCGGGUGCUGUUCCCGGUAAUCAACAAGCAAAACAAAUUAAAUGCUAAAAAAUUAGAUAACGUAGUUGUAGGCAACUUCGCACCUGCAUACGCAGUAGCUGCAUAGUCUAUAACGAUUAGCUGCUCAUAUUGCCCAGCUUGCCGGUGAUAUGGGCCCAUGAUGCAAGCGGCAGUACGUUGAUGACGGUAGGCGUAUCAAGAUAACCGUUAAAGGUUAGUGUUUCCGUAAAAAACACUCUGGAUUAUUUAAAAGGUUCUGAUAUUCCCUGAAUAUUCCGAGAAAAUUAAUAUCUACACCCGUAGAAGUUUGUUUAGAUCCAUUUUGGACAGGGGUUCGACUCCCCUCGUCUCCA
rnacentral:tmRNA from 1 species